rnacentral:lncRNA from 1 species
GGGGGCGCCUGCUCCACCCAUCACGUAUCCGGUUGGAAGAAAAGCCAGUCUCAACAACUUGAUUCUCUCGGUUAAAUGAUAAGUUUAGCCGACCAUCCGUCUCCAAGUGCUGAACAUUAGGGUAGGGGAGGAAGGAGCACAUCAGACGUUCCCUUUCUUUUCCAACCACAAAUCAUACGGUUGCAUCUAUUCUCUAUUCCGCGUAGAACCCUCCGACCUGAAUGCCACGUUCCUCCCGGAAUGCAUGCCACAGAGCCUCUGAGAAAAUAAAUCCUGUGCAUGUGUUUUGAAUUUUUUCCGGACUGAUUUGUGAGGAUAAUCAGUUAAGUUACAUUUCUUGUGUGCGUGCUGGGGGUGUAAUAAAGCUAGGACACUGAUGACUGUAAUUUUCUGAGUGAUGUCG